UACGGGGGGGGGCAAGCGUUGUUCGGAAUUACUGGGCGUAAAGGGCUCGUAGGCGGCCAACUAAGUCGGAUGUGAAAUCCCCAGGCUCAACUUGGGAACUGCAUCCGAUACUGGAUGGCUUGAAUUCGGGAGAGGGAUGCAGAAUUCCAGGUGUAGCGGUGAAAUGCGUAGAUAUCGGGAGGAACACCAAUUGCGAAGGCAGCUCGCUGGGACGUGACUGACGCUGAGACGCGAAAGCGUGGGGAGCAAACAGGG
rnacentral:rRNA from 1 species